UAUAAAAUGCCUGAUAAAAGGAUUAUUCUGAUAGAAUAAAUUAUAUAGUUAAACUAUUUUUAUAA
rnacentral:tRNA from 1 species